GUAUGAUGGGAUCAUCCUUCCUGGCAAAUAAAUUCCUGUUUCCAAAAGACGAAUAAAAAGGUUACAGUGAGCUCUGUGUCACCAGGAGCGGGGUUCCUGAUGUCCACCUCACGGAGCCCGGCACAGCGCUCCAGGAGCUUGUCUCCCAUUCCUCUGACCAUGCCCGUGAUCCUUGGCCAGCGGUUUGGUUCUGAGUUUUAGUCUGGGCUUUACAUUUUGAGCACUGUUUGAGGCCGCUCGUGUGACUAAUAGAGGAUGGCUGUCCUUCAAUGGUUCUCUGGUAUGUUACCUGCUUUAUAGAUUUAUUUUUAGCCUGGAAAUUAUUUGGUGUAGUCUUUUUUUAAUUGACAACAAUGGCAUGUUAUAUCUUUAUUAAAACUAUCAUAGUAGGUGUUCUCUCAGUCAGAUUAGAUCUACAUUAUUAAAGGAAAGAAACAUGAAUUUUGUUUCCUUUAAAGCAGAAA